UAGGGAAUCUUCCACAAUGGGCGAAAGCCUGAUGGAGCAACGCCGCGUGUGUGAUGAAGGCUUUCGGGUCGUAAAGCACUGUUGUAUGGGAAGAACAGCUAGAAUAGGAAAUGAUUUUAGUUUGACGGUACCAUACCAGAAAGGGACGGCUAAAUACGCGCCAG
rnacentral:rRNA from 1 species